rnacentral:rRNA from 2 species
AGAGUUUGAUCAUGGCUCAGAUUGAACGCUGGCGGCAGGCCUAACACAUGCAAGUCGAACGGUAACAGGAAACAGCUUGCUGUUUCGCUGACGAGUGGCGGACGGGGGAGUAAUGUCUGGGAAACUGCCUGAUGGAGGGGGAUAACUACUGGAAACGGUAGCUAAUACCGCAUAACGUCGCAAGACCAAAGAGGGGGACCUUCGGGCCUCUUGCCAUCGGAUGUGCCCAGAUGGGAUUAGCUAGUAGGUGGGGUAAAGGCUCACCUAGGCGACGAUCCCUAGCUGGUCUGAGAGGAUGACCAGCCACACUGGAACUGAGACACGGUCCAGACUCCUACGGGAGGCAGCAGUGGGGAAUAUUGCACAAUGGGCGCAAGCCUGAUGCAGCCAUGCCGCGUGUAUGAAGAAGGCCUUCGGGUUGUAAAGUACUUUCAGCGGGGAGGAAGGGAGUAAAGUUAAUACCUUUGCUCAUUGACGUUACCCGCAGAAGAAGCACCGGCUAACUCCGUGCCAGCAGCCGCGGUAAUACGGAGGGUGCAAGCGUUAAUCGGAAUUACUGGGCGUAAAGCGCACGCAGGCGGUUUGUUAAGUCAGAUGUGAAAUCCCCGGGCUCAACCUGGGAACUGCAUCUGAUACUGGCAAGCUUGAGUCUCGUAGAGGGGGGUAGAAUUCCAGGUGUAGCGGUGAAAUGCGUAGAGAUCUGGAGGAAUACCGGUGGCGAAGGCGGCCCCCUGGACGAAGACUGACGCUCAGGUGCGAAAGCGUGGGGAGCAAACAGGAUUAGAUACCCUGGUAGUCCACGCCGUAAACGAUGUCGACUUGGAGGUUGUGCCCUUGAGGCGUGGCUUCCGGAGCUAACGCGUUAAGUCGACCGCCUGGGGAGUACGGCCGCAAGGUUAAAACUCAAAUGAAUUGACGGGGGCCCGCACAAGCGGUGGAGCAUGUGGUUUAAUUCGAUGCAACGCGAAGAACCUUACCUGGUCUUGACAUCCACAGAACCUUGUAGAGAUACGAGGGUGCCUUCGGGAACUGUGAGACAGGUGCUGCAUGGCUGUCGUCAGCUCGUGUUGUGAAAUGUUGGGUUAAGUCCCGCAACGAGCGCAACCCUUAUCCUUUGUUGCCAGCGGUCCGGCCGGGAACUCAAAGGAGACUGCCAGUGAUAAACUGGAGGAAGGUGGGGAUGACGUCAAGUCAUCAUGGCCCUUACGACCAGGGCUACACACGUGCUACAAUGGCGCAUACAAAGAGAAGCGACCUCGCGAGAGCAAGCGGACCUCAUAAAGUGCGUCGUAGUCCGGAUUGGAGUCUGCAACUCGACUCCAUGAAGUCGGAAUCGCUAGUAAUCGUGGAUCAGAAUGCCACGGUGAAUACGUUCCCGGGCCUUGUACACACCGCCCGUCACACCAUGGGAGUGGGUUGCAAAAGAAGUAGGUAGCUUAACCUUCGGGAGGGCGCUUACCACUUUGUGAUUCAUGACUGGGGUGAAGUCGUAACAAGGUAACCGUAGGGGAACCUGCGGUUGGAUCACCU